GCCUGUGUAGCUCAGUUGGUAGAGCAGCUGAUUUGUAAUCAGCAGGUCGCGGGUUCGAGUCCCAUCGCAGGCUCCA
rnacentral:tRNA from 1 species